rnacentral:pre_miRNA from 1 species
CAAGUACUCCCUCCGUUUGGAAUUACUUGUCGUAGAAAUGGAUGUAUCUAGACAUUUUUUAGUUCUAGAUACAUCCAUUUCUGCGACAAGUAAUUCGGAACGGAGGGAGUAUAUA